GAUGAACGCUGGCGGCGUGCUUAACACAUGCAAGUCGAACGAAGCGACUAUGAUUGAGAUUUCGGUUGAUUGAUUAGUUGACUUAGUGGCGGACGGGUGAGUAACGCGUGGGUAACCUGCCUCGUACAGGGGGGAUAACAGUUAGAAAUGACUGCUAAUACCGCAUAACCCGCUAGGGUCGCAUGACCCAGACGGAAAAGAUUUAUCGGUACGAGAUGGACCCGCGUCUGAUUAGCUAGUUGGUGAGGUAACGGCCCCACCAAGGCGACGAUCAGUAGCCGGCCUGAGAGGGUGAACGGCCACAUUGGGACUGAGACACGGCCCAAACUCCUACGGGAGGCAGCAGUGGGGAAUAUUGCACAAUGGGGGAAACCCUGAUGCAGCAACGCCGCGUGAGUGAAGAAGUAUUUCGGUAUGUAAAGCUCUAUCAGCAGGGAAGAAAAUGACGGUACCUGACUAAGAAGCCCCGGCUAACUACGUG
rnacentral:rRNA from 1 species